UACGUAGGGGGCAAGCGUUGUCCGGAAUCAUUGGGCGUAAAGAGCGCGUAGGCGGCCCGAUAAGUCCGCUGUGAAAGUCAAGGGCUCAACCCUUGAAUGCCGGUGGAUACUGUCGGGCUAGAGUCCGGAAGAGGCGAGUGGAAUUCCUGGUGUAGCGGUGAAAUGCGCAGAUAUCAGGAGGAACACCAAUGGCGAAGGCGGCUCUCUGGGACGGUACUGACGCUGAGACGCGAAAGCGUGGGGAGCGAACAGG
rnacentral:rRNA from 1 species